AUCCAGUUGACGAGUCCCAAAUAGGACGAGACGUGCACUAAACUGGAU
rfam:Schistosoma rodhaini strain Burundi genome assembly, scaffold: SROB_scaffold0015281